UGUUACAGAUUAAAGCCAAAACUGAAUUAUUGCUGUCAGCAGAAGCAGCAAAAAACUGCUCAAAGAGCGAUCUUCAAAAAUCAUUUGGACACAGCUCAAAAUGCAUUACAAGAUAAACAGCAGGAGUUAAAUUAAAUCACUACUCAACUGGACCAGGUCACUACCAAGUUGCAGGAUAAACAAGAACAUUGCGGUCAGCUGGAAAGUCAUCUUAAAGAAUAUAAAGAGAAACAUCUCUCUUU